rnacentral:lncRNA from 1 species
AUUGAUUACAAAUUUGUUUCAAGAAUGUUUCUCGAAAUCAACAUCGUCACACCAUGGGGUUCCAGGGGACUGAUAGACACACAAAACAACACAGUCCCAUCAGGCCCUCUUAUUUCAAAGCGCACAUACAUAGCAAAGCAAGACCAAACACAUAUGGUAUGUUUGUCCGAGACGCAUACAAAUCAACAUAGAAAAAAGCAUAAUAACACACUGAAUUUGGCAAAUACAGGAAGCAUCGGACGUCAAUUGUUUAUUCUUGAGGAAACACACCAAAAACUUGGCUAAGCAAACAGUUGGACCCUCGCGGCGAGGUAAGCACGUGAUAGAAAGCAGAGCUUGCCGCUGUCGUCUCUCCUCAAAUCCCCACGAAAUCUAUGGAUGAGUUGAUAGCACAAGUGAUUAAUGGAACGUGACAUGAAACUAAAAGAAAAACAAUGAAAAGGAAAUAACUCAUGUGCACGUACCUGGACAAGCAAGCAA